AGUGGAUGGGGAGCAACCUAGUUGUGCGUGUGUAAAGGUAGUGCCAAGAAAAGCGAUGAUCAUGUUGAAAAUCAAUUCCCGGUACCCGAAACCGACACAGGUGGGCAAGUAGAGAAUACUAGGGGGCGCGGGGUAACUCUCUCCAAGGAACUCGGCAAAAUGACCCCGUAACUUAGGGAGAAGGGGUGCCACCGAGAGGUGGUCGCAGUGAAGAGGCCCAGGCGACUGUUUAGCAAAAACAUAGGUCUCUGCAAACUCGAAAGAGGAGGUAUAGGGGCUGACGCCUGCCCAGUGCCGGAAGGUUAAAGAAGUUGGUCAGUCUUAGGAUGAAGCUAGCGACUGAAGCCCCGGUGAACGGCGGCCGUAACUAUAACGGUCCUAAGGUAGCGAAAUUCCUUGUCGGGUAAGUUCCGACCCGCACGAAAGGCGUAACGAUCUGGGCGCUGUCUCGAGAGAGGCUCGGCGAAAUAGGAUUGUCUGUGAAGAUACGGACUACCUGCAUUUGGACAGAAAGACCCUAUGAAGCUUUACUAUAGCUUGGAAUUGUGUUCGGGCUUCCUGUGCGCAGGAUAGGUGGGAGGCGUAGAAGGUAUUCUUGUGGGGAUACUGGAGCCAACGGUGAGAUACCACUCUCAGGAGGCUAGAAUUCUAACUUAAUUAAGGACAGUUUCAGGUGGGUAGUUUGACUGGGGCGGUCGCCUCCAAAAAGGUAACGGAGGCGUACAAAGGUUCCCUCAGACUGGUUGGAAAUCAGUCGAAGAGUGCAAAGGCAGAAGGGAGCUUGACUGCGAGAAGUACAGUUCGAGCAGGGUGGAAACACGGUCUUAGUGAUCCGACGGUGCUGUGUGGAAGGGCCGUCGCUCAACGGAUAAAAGUUACUCUAGGAUAACAGGCUGAUCUCCCCCAAGAGUUCACAUCGACGGGGAGGUUUGGCACCUCGAUGUCGGCUCAUCGCAACCUGGGGCGGAAGUACGUCCCAAGGGUUGGGCUGUUCGCCCAUUAAAGCGGUACGUGAGCUGGGUUCAGAACGUCGUGAGACAGUUCGGUCCAUAUCCGAUGUAGGCGUGAGAAUAUUGAGAGGAGCCUUCCUUAGUACGAGAGGACCGGGAAGGACGCACCGCUGGUGUACCUGUUAUGAUGCCAAUUGUAAACGCAGGGUAGCCAAGUGCGGAGAGGAUAACCGCUGAAAGCAUCUAAGUGGGAAGCCCACCUCAAGAUGAGUAUUCUGGUGUAAGGUCACGGGAAGACGACCCGUAAAUAGGCACGAGGUGGAAGUGCAGAGAUGUAUGAAGCCGAAGUGUACUAAUAGACCGUCGGCUUGACCG
rnacentral:rRNA from 1 species